rnacentral:rRNA from 1 species
AGUUGUUGCAGUUAAAAAGCUCGUAGUUGGAUUUCAGGGUGAUCUCAACUGGUCGGCCUCAUGGUCAGAACUGGUUGACUCUCUCUUGUGUGUGGAUUCCGCCCGGAGUUAACUCUUCGGAUGUGAAGUCCACAUCGUUUACCUUGAAAAAAUUAGAGUGUUCAAAGCAGGCGUUUGCUUGAAUAUAUUAGCAUGGAAUAAUGGAAUAGGACGCUGGUUCUAUUUUGUUGGUUUUGAGAACCAGAGUAAUGAUUAAUAGGGACAGUUGGGGGCAUUCAUAUUUCAUUGUCAGAGGUGAAAUUCUUGGAUUUAUGAAAGAUGAACUUCUGCGAAAGCAUUUGCCAAGGAUGUUUUCAUUAAUCAAGAACGAAAGUUAGGGGAUCGAAGACGAUCAGAUACCGUCGUAGUCUUAACCAUAAACUAUGCCGACUAGGGAUUGGGCGUGGUUUGUUCAUUGACCCGCUCAGCACCUUACGAGAAAUCAAAGUCUUUGGGUUCCGGGGGGAGUAUGGUCGCAAGGCUGAAACUUAAAGGAAUUGACGGAGGGGCACCACCACGAGUGGAGCCUGCGGCUUAAUUUGACUCAACACGGGAAAACUUACCAGGUCCAGACAUAGUAAGGAUUGACAGAUUGAGAGCUCUUCCUUGAUUCUAUGGGUGGUGGUGCAUGGCCG